CAGGGAGACAACAAAAUGUUUAAUAUUAUUAUUUUGUCACCUUAGGUCGAUCGGUAUCUCACGUUCUUAAUUUAUUAAGAAUUUCAUUUCCUAAGUUUUUCUAGGUCACACCCAUUAUUUUUCCUGGGCCAUUAGCUCAGGUGGUUAGAGCGCACCCCUGAUAAGGGUGAGGUCCCUGGUUCAAGUCCAGGAUGGCCCAUAUCUCUAUGUUGGGGGUAUAGCUCAGUUGGUAGAGCGCCUGCUUUGCAAGCAGGAUGUCAGCGGUUCGAGUCCGCUUACCUCCACUGAUUACCACCUCUUCCAUAAUCUGUAGAAAGGAAAUGUUUUGAGUUGUGAUCAAAUUCUGAACGAAUCUAGCUUCCUAAUAAAAUCAUUAAGAUGCUGGACUCAUUGAAUUAAUUUCAUUGUUUUCAGAGAACCUUGACAACUGCAUAGAUUAUUUUUAAAGACAAUAAGCAUCUUUAAUGAUGCAGAUUUAUUAUUUGUGCAAAUGCAUUAAUAACAAUUCUAUUAAGCUGAUGCUUCAAUUUUGAAGUUAUU
rnacentral:tRNA from 1 species